CCUACGGGCGGCUGCAGUGGGGGAUCUUCCGCAAUGGGCGAAAGCCUGACGGAGCAACGCCGCGUGAUCGAAUGAAGGCCUUCGGGUUGUAAAGCUCUGUUGACAGGGACGAAUAAGCACUGCAAAUAGUUUUGUGUAUGACGGUACCUGUUUAGAACGCUCCGGCUAACUACGUGCCAGCAGCCACGGUAAUAAGUCGGGAGCAUGCGUUGUCCGGAAUUACUGGGCGUAAAGGGCGCGUAGGUGGGCGCGUAAGUUAGGUGUGAAAACUCCGGGCGCAAACUGGAGACUGCACUUGAAACUGGGUGUCUUGAGGGCAGAAGAGGAAAGUGGACUUCCUAGUGUAGCGGUGAAAUGCGUAGAUAUUAGGAGGAACACCAGUGGCGAAGGCGACUUUCUGGACUGUACCUGACGCUGAGGCGCGAAAGCGUGGGUAGCGAACGGGAUUAGAUACCCUGGUAGUC
rnacentral:rRNA from 1 species